rnacentral:rRNA from 1 species
UUAAAUUGAAGAGUUUGAUCAUGGCUCAGAUUGAACGCUGGCGGCAGGCCUAACACAUGCAAGUCGAACGGUAACAGGAAGCAGCUUGCUGCUUUGCUGACGAGUGGCGGACGGGUGAGUAAUGUCUGGGAAACUGCCUGAUGGAGGGGGAUAACUACUGGAAACGGUGGCUAAUACCGCAUAACGUCGCAAGACCAAAGAGGGGGACCUUCGGGCCUCUUGCCAUCAGAUGUGCCCAGAUGGGAUUAGCUUGUUGGUGAGGUAACGGCUCACCAAGGCGACGAUCCCUAGCUGGUCUGAGAGGAUGACCAGCCACACU